GAUCAGCUGGUUGACUGCCUUGAGUGAUUGCUGGUUUUUAUCCAGCUGAGCCGUCUUAAUCUCCGCGACUCCGGCUUGGAACAGGUCUUGAACCAUCGUUUGCAUGGCUUCGAUGGCUCCAGAGUGUUGCUGGUUC
rnacentral:tRNA from 1 species